ACACCCAUCAAGCCUGGCUUGGUAUUGGGCGGUGGGACCUUCCCGCGCCCCGAUUUCGCCGGCUGGACGACCCCGAUCCCUUAAGCGUUGUACAAUCUCGCUGACGAGACGGGCGGCCACGCCGUUAACCUCAAUCAAAA
rnacentral:misc_RNA from 1 species